CUCGCAAAUUGCACCGAAUUACUCCCAUUCGCUUACCUGCUAUCAUCGCUGCGGUCCGGGGGCUCCAUACCAAGGCGAGGAGUCCAGACUCGCCCGUGUGUGCGCCGACGCCAUCUUACCAGCAAUCAUCGAAGAACUGACACAGAUCAUUGCUACGGCAACCCGUGCAGUACAUCAGACAGCCGCUGUGACUGCUCUUGAACUGCCGUAAUAGGCUCUAAUUACCGCCCGAGUUGACCCGUUUAUUACUGUGGGCAUGCUGACAGAUCGCUUGUCAUGCAACUUGAUCUGGCAGGCACAGCAUCUUGUAACUAAAAUACGGUCAUUUAGAACACACGUUAUUAUUGAUUACAAUAUUUACAGAGAAAAUUAC